GGGUAGUUAACUAUUCAGAAGAGACUCUCCAGCCCCCCAUGUAAGCCACAGUCUAAUCAGGCACAAAAUAUAGGAUGCCCUAAUCACCUCACCAGUUUUCACAUUUCUUAAAUAAAAUUUACUUAUUUACCACCGAAAAUUAACUAAAAAUGUUGACAUGUGACAAAUGACGCCCAUCUUGAUAGUUGUUUUUAAAGAUCGCCCCUGACAUUAACAAGUCUACAUCGUGCUUUAUGACAUUUAAUUAGUCAUAUUUUAUUUAAUUAGCAUGGUGAGACAUCGAAAGCAAUUCAAACGUUUUCUGAAAUGCCCGAACGGGAAGACCGCUGUUCCAUACGUUGCGAGAUGCUGGGCAAGGACCUGCUCCUUGCUGACCCCGCCGCCCGCCCUCUGGCUGGGGAAUGGGACCACCGUCAGAUUGCCGCAGACGACUUCAGGACCCUCAUCAAAACCUGGCUGCCGCAUGCACACGCUUUCCCAGGCCAGGUCAACCCAGGGCAAGGCUCAGCUUGAAGAGGGCAGGGCUCCCUCAGUUCCGGAAAAGUCUCCAGGUCCCCACUGAAGUAAGACGGUGUGUCUCCGAAGCCUCCAAGAGGGAAUGCUUCUGUGGACUCAAGAGGUCCUCAAAGGCAUGGCCCCCAUCAAAGCACGAGCCCACGGAUGGGCCUGACAACCACUCGGGGCACGGGGCUCCCCUCCGCGAGGGCAGUGGGGAACAACAGGAUGCGGGAAUGGACGCAGAGCCUGCAAGGAGUUCUGCGGGGUUUGUUCAAUGGUGGAUCUUAACUCCUUAACAGCGACUUUUCUAAUUUGAUCAUUAAUUCAUAAUUAGGCCAUAAAAAAUCCUAGCUGUUCCCACUCCGCUCCUCCGACACUCCCAGUGCUGCGCCCUCCUUCGCCCAACAGUUUAGCUCUGAAGAAAUUCCUGGGGUGAGAUGCGAGAGCACCCUUCUGGGUCCUUCCCAGGCGCCGGGUGGGCAUUCUGCUGCCCUGUUGUCCCAGAACAUUGAUCAGAUACCGUCUGCCAAACACCAGGGAAAUUUCUGGGGCUACAGCGAUGACAAGCCCAGGGAGCUCACAGUCCAGGUGGCAGGACACAUGGAUGCACACCAGUCACAAAGUCACAGGUGACCUAGGAGGCCCUGGCUUAGGAUGGCACAGCCUGGGGGAGCCGUUCGGAACAGAGGACGCUGCUGGGCAUGAACGUGAAAGGCUGGCGUUCCCCGGGUGAAAAUGAGGAGAGGAGGCGGGGUGUGCAAGGAAGGCAGAGGGGACGUGUCCACGGGUGCUGCUGAACAGAACCCCAGGCCGGGUGGCUUCAACAGCAGCCACUCACUUCUCGUGGUUCCGGAAGCUGGGAAGUCCACAAGUAAGGGGCCCAAAGAUCUGAUGUCUGGUGGGAACGCUCUUUCUGUUGGCGCAUGACCACCUGCUUGCCGUAUCCUCACCUGGUAGAAAGAGAGCUCUCUGGUCCCCUCCUCUUCUUAUUACUAAUCCCAUCAUGGGGGCGACACCCUCAGGACCUCAUCUGACUCCAAGUAUCUCCCAAAGGCCCCACGUCUGAGCAUUGACACGUUGGGAUUAGGAGCUCAACGUAUGAGCUUGAGGAGGACAUGGCCUUCAGUGUGUAGCACACGUGCAGGAGCAAGGGUGUGAGAGCAGAACUGAGCGAGCAGGAGCCAGUGCUGUGGGAGCUCGGGCCACAAGGGGUGAGCGUGGAGUCACUGAGGGGUUAAGUCGGGAGUGAUGAGAUCAGAUUUACCUUUUAAAGACUUUAUUUACUUGACACAAACACAGAGAGAGAGAGAGAGAGAGAGAGAGAGAGAGGGAGCACAGGUUGGAAGAGCAGCAGGCAGAAAAAGAGGAAGAAGCAGGCCCCACUGAGCAGAGAGCCCAACGAAGGGCUUGAUCCCCGGACCCAGGGAUCAGGACCUGAGCCGAAGGCAGACACCUGACACACUGAGCCACCCGGGCGCCCAGGUUAACCUUAUAAAUUGUCACCGUGGCCUAAGGGUCCAGAACGUGUUGGACGGAGGCCCAACUGGAGAUGGAGAGGCCAGCUGGGGAGCUGUGGCAGUGAUCCAGGUAGAGUUGAUGAAACGAGGACGGAGAUAGGGGACGGAUGCAAGGGUAACUUGGGGUACAGAGUCAGCAGGAGUCGGCCUCACAUGAGCACUGGAAGCUGAGGCCGGAGCGAGGCUGGCUUCUGCAUCUCCAGCUCGGGCCAGCUGGGGCACGAGCGAGAGAUGCUGGGGGGAAUAAUGAGCUGAGUUGGGGAUAUUUGGAAUCGGAGUAUAUCCUCACCGUCCAGAACAGAGGUGUCAUUCGAAGACCAGUUCUAGGGCCUCCUCCCUCCCAGUUGUACUCUCUUCUCAGUGGUGUCAUCAUUCGUGAACAGCAGCUACCGUCUCACUGCUGAUAACCCGCAUCUUUAAAUUCGGCCUGGAUUUCUCUUCUGAGUCCCAACAUCCUGGCUUCAGCCACCCACUGGGUGUUCCCUUUUGGAGGCCCCAUCGCAGAGGUUAAGUGGCUGCAUCCAUACCCAGGGCGAGCUACCAGAAGCUGUGCAGUCCAACGCAGGGGCUGCUGGGCCUGUUGGGCACCACGGCUAGGGGGACCACUGAGUCCUGGAAAUGUGGCCAGUCUGUCACGAAAAUGAGACGAGGCACAGAUCAGGACAUGUUCGCUAAAGACCUUUCUGGAUAAAGCACUGUUCUCUAAGGUGUGCAAAGAACUCUUAAGAUUCAACAAUAAGAAGAUAUACAACCCAAUUAAAAAAAAUGGGGCCCCUCGGUGGCUCAGCGGUUGAGCCUCUGCCUUCAGCUCAGGGCAUGACCUCAGGGCCCGGGAUCGAGUCCCACGUCGGGCUCCCUGCAUGGACCUGCUCCUCCCUCUGCCUGUGUCUCUGCCUCUCUCUCUCUGUCUGUGUCUCUCAUGAAUAAAUAAAUAAAAUCUUUUAAAGAAAUGAGCA
rnacentral:lncRNA from 12 species